GUAGCUGGGGCUGAGAACCACGACUGCCUUAACAGUAUAAGGCACGCCUGUGUUCACUGGCUUUUUCCACAAGGAUUCAAGGAGGCUGGCUUGCAACUAGUAAAUGAGUUAAGUUUCUAAAUAGCUUUUUUCCCUCCAGUUGAAAAUUAGAGGGGCUGAACAUUGGCUGAUCCUGAAGCACAUUGCAAUGUAUAGUUUUCUCAUGCUCUAGCAUAAACAACAAAAAGACUGAGGAUUAUAAAACUGUCACAUGUUCAAGAAUUAAUUAGGCUCGUAUUAUUCAGGAUAGGUGAUGCUGGCUACUGGUCUCUUCAAACCACACAUACUUACGUACACACAUAGACACAUACAAAAUCAAAGUGUUAUCCACUGCUAAUAUAUUUUCACAAGUUAUUUGUCACAAUAUUGACAGUUUCAGCUGGAUUCUAAAGAGGAAAUUUCCCACAGGGAGGAACAAGGACAAGGGCAGAAGCACGGGGACCGGCUAGGAGGCUCUCGCACAAAUCCAGCUGAGACAGCCGGGCGGUGAGAGCCUGGGAAUAUUCUGACGGCGACCACGGUGUUUGCGGACGCAUUGGAUGUGGGGCGAUAGCAAAAGAGAAGGACUGGGGACCGAGGAAGGAUGACACUGCCAUGACCUCAGAAUGAAAAGAAGUCUCUCGGGAGGCGUGCCACCGUCCCUAUGAUUAUGUCUGUUGUUCCCGACGAGUCCUGAGCCCAGCGCUGAGGCCGCAGCAGGCCCGUCCCCUCCCCGCCCCGGCCGGAGCCAAGCCGGUCCUUCCGUCUGGUCCACGGAGCCCAGCGACUUCCUCGGAGCCUCGGCGGCCGUGGAGGCUAUCAUUCCAUCUCUCCCACCCACGGGAUCUUGGCUCCUCCUCAAGGCUCUUUCGCAUUUUCCCACAGUUCCCUUCCCGAAUCUUUUCCUGUCAGCGUCUCUGUUUUCUCCUCCCGUCCUCCGUAGGUUCUGUGAGAACUUGGCAGUCUUCUGUCGGGCUUGUUUUGUUGCUUAUGCUCCUCCCCCAUUCUAUUUCUAUGGCUUGUUACAUACUGAGAUUUGCUGUGCAUUUUUGUUCUGUCUGACUCUAAUCAAUAGGGCCCAGAAUGGCGUUUGUUUUUUUUUAACCUUCAUUAUGUUAUUUGUGGGUUUCUCAGUUUCAUUCAGAAAUCAAUUAUACAUCCCUAAUAAUGAAACUUAAUUUGGGCGAGUUUUGGUGAUUCUCUCCAUGCCAAGUCCACGGUAAGACUGCCAACUGGGAUAAGAUAUAGAACAAUUGCCAUUAAUAUUUUGUUUCAGGAUUGUCAAACUCCACUUGAAAGUCUCCCACUGGGUUUAUCUGGGGAAGAAGUGAUGUGAUCCAGAGCUCUGGAUGUAGGAGACAUACCUGGUUCAAGCCACUUGGUUUCAGUUGUCUAAUGACUCUAGGUUAAUGGCAACUCAGAAUCCAGCUCCACAUGGUAGCCGGCUCCCUCGGUCUGGACCUCUCUGUCUGCCAAUUAGCUGGGUUUGAAUUCAAAAGCCUUUUUCUUUGAUGCCAGUUAUUGCUGAUUAUCUUGGCAAAUUCCCACUCUACUGCUCUGUUCAAGUGUGAGUUUUCAAGCUCCAUCCAUUGGUAUCUCAAACGAGUUCUCCCUUUCCGGUCUGAGGGGAAUGUGAUAUGGGUGACGUUCCCGGGAAAGCAGUGCCUCAACAGGCACUGAGCGCCUUCGGAUGGUCCUACACAGGCCUUCCUGACAGCGAAGUUGGCUUCGUCGCCAGUGUUUUUGUGCUGCCACGUAUUGAGCUCAGUCUGUGCCAGGCACUGCGCCAGUCUUUCACGGAGAAGAUGCAUUCAGUUCUCACAGCCCGUUUUUAGGCGGAGACUGAUCCUCAGAGAGGGAGACAACCUGCCCGGGUUAGAGCUAGUGUGGGGACCCAGAGUUUGAGCCAGAGCUGUCUGAUUCUGGAACAUGUGUUCUUAAGGACAAAACUUCCUGAGACGAUAUGGGGUUUAAACUAAAUCAGCGGAAGAGAAUCAAGACAAUUCCUUUCCCCUCUCCCAAAGAGUUUAGUUUCCCUGGAAAAUUUCCGACGACGGUGACACUCAUUUGAGCUCUAACAGUUAGGUCCCUGUGCAAUAUCCUUUCUCUAUUCCCAGAGUCAGGACUCUGAUCAGCCAAAGAAAUCCUGAAUCUCUAAGCUGCUAAUUUUAAAAAAAUAUUAUUUGGAAUAUAGUGACGUCCUGAAUCAGAAACCCAGCGUAUUG
ensembl:lncRNA